rfam:Rattus norvegicus chromosome 5, whole genome shotgun sequence.
GGGGAUUUAGCUUAGUGGUAGAGCGCUUGCCUAGGAAGCGCAAGGCCCUGGGUUCAGUCCCCA